rnacentral:rRNA from 1 species
GGUUUCUUGAAAUUGUUUAAGAGAUCUAACCUGCCCACUGAAGAUAAUUUUGAAGGGCCGCAGUAUUUUGACUGUGCAAAGGUAGCAUAAUCAUUAGUCUUUUAAUUGAAGGCUGGUAUGAAUGGUUGGAUGAGGUGAAUUCUGUUUUAUGUUAAUUGAAAUUGAAUUUAGAUUUUAAGUAAAAAGACUUAAAUAAUAUUAAGGGACGAGAAGACCCUAUAGAGUUUAAUAUAUGUAAUAAUUAAUUGAGUUAGGAAGCUUAAUUUUUGAUUUUUAUGAAGUUUAUUUAAUUGGGGUGAUUAGAAGAUAAAAUUAACUCUUUUUUGUAUUUAAUAGUAUAAUUAGUUUUAUGAUCCAUAUUUGAUGAUUAAAAGAUUAAAUUACCUUAGGGAUAACAGCAUAAUUCUUUUUGAGAGUUCAUAUUGAAAAAAGAGAUUGUGACCUCGAUGUUGGAUUAAGAUUAGUUAUGGGUGCAGAUGUUCAUUAACUAGGUCUGUUCGACCUUGAAAAUCUUACA